UGAGGAAUAUUGCGCAAUGGAGGAAACUCUGACGCAGCCAUGCCGCGUGCAGGAAGAAGGCGCUACGCGUUGUAAACUGCUUUUAACCGGGAAGAAACCCCAGGACGUGUCCUGGGUUGACGGUACCGGAGGAAUAAGCACCGGCUAACUUCGUGCCAGCAGCCGCGGUAAUACGAAGGGUGCAAGCGUUAUCCGGAUUCAUUGGGUUUAAAGGGUGCGUAGGCGGGGCGUUAAGUCAGUGGUGAAAUCCUGCAGCUCAACUGUAGACUUGCCAUUGAUACUGGCGUUCUUGAGUGCGCUUGAAGUAGGCGGAAUGUGCCGUGUAGCGGUGAAAUGCUUAGAUAUGGCACAGAACACCAAUUGCGAAGGCAGCUUACUAAGGCGAUACUGACGCUGAGGC
rnacentral:rRNA from 1 species